rnacentral:rRNA from 1 species
ACACAUGCAAGUCGAGGGGCAGCAUGGUCUUAGCUUGCUAAGGCCGAUGGCGACCGGCGCACGGGUGAGUAACACGUAUCCAACCUGCCGUCUACUCUUGGACAGCCUUCUGAAAGGAAGAUUAAUACAAGAUGGCAUCAUGAGUCCGCAUGUUCACAUGAUUAAAGGUAUUCCGGUAGACGAUGGGGAUGCGUUCCAUUAGAUAGUAGGCGGGGUAAUGGCUCACCAAGGCAUCGAUGGGUAGGGGUUCUGAGAGGAAGGUCCCCCACAUUGGAACUGAGACACGGUCCAAACUCCUACGGGAGGCAGCAGUGAGGAAUAUUGGUCAAUGGACGAAAGUCUGAACCAGCCAAGUAGCGUGCAGGAAGACGGCCCUCUGGGUUGUAAACUGCUUUUAGUUGGGAAUAAAAAGAGGGACGUGUCCCUUAUUGUAUGUACCAUCAGAAAAAGGACCGGCUAAUUCCGUGCCAGCAGCCGCGGUAAUACGGAAGGUCCAGGCGUUAUCCGGAUUUAUUGGGUUUAAAGGGAGCGCAGGCGGUGGCGUAAGUCAGUUGUGAAAUCGUGCGGCUUAACCGUGCAAUUGCAGUUGAUACUGCGUCGCUUGAGUGCACACAGGGAUGUUGGAAUUCAUGGUGU